rnacentral:rRNA from 1 species
GACGAAGGAUCUAAGCGUUAUCCGGAUUCAUUGGGUUUAAAGGGAGCGUAGGCGGACUUAUAAGUCAGUGGUGAAAGCCGAUAGCUUAACUAUCGAAUUGCCAUUGAUACUGUAGGUCUAGAGUACAGAUGAUGUUGGCGGAAUAUGACAUGUAGCGGUGAAAUGCAUAGAUAUGUCAUAGAACACCGAUUGCGAAGGCAGCUGACAAAACUGUAACUGACGCUGAGGCUCGAAAGUGCGGGGAUCAAACAGG